rnacentral:misc_RNA from 1 species
GAUGAAGAACGCAGCGAAAUGCGAUAAGUAGUGUGAAUUGCAGAAUUCAGUGAAUCAUCGAAUCUUUGAACGCACAUUGCGCCCCUUGGUAUUCCAUGGGGCAUGCCUGUUCGAGCGUCAUUUACACCCUCAAGCUCUGCUUGGUGUUGGGCGUCUGUCCCGCUGCUUUGCGCGGACUCGCCUCAAAGGUAUUGGCAGCGAUCAUCCCAGCUUCUCGCGCAGCACAUUGCGCUUCUUGAAGUUCUGGUGGAUCAGCGUCCAUUAAGCUUACCUUCAUGACUUGACCUCGGAUCAGGUAGGGAUACCCGCUGAACUUAAGCAUAUCAAUAAGCGGAGGA